rnacentral:rRNA from 1 species
AGUGAACGCUGGCGGUAGGCCUAACACAUGCAAGUCGAACGGCAGCACAGUAAGAGCUUGCUCUUACGGGUGGCGAGUGGCGGACGGGUGAGGAAUACAUCGGAAUCUACUUUUUCGUGGGGGAUAACGUAGGGAAACUUACUCUAAUACCGCAUACGACCUACGGUUGAAAGCAGGGGAUCUUCGGACCUUGCGCGAUUGAAUUAGCCGAUGUCGGAUUAGCUAGUUGGCGGGGUAAAGGCCCACCAAGGCGACGAUCCGUAGCUGGUCUGAGAGGAUGAUCAGCCACACUGGAACUGAGACACGGUCCAGACUACUACGGGAGGCAGCAGUGGGGAAUAUUGGACAGUGGGCGCAAGCCUGAUCCAGCCAUACCGAGUGGGUGAAGAAGGCCUUCGGGUUGUAAAGCCCUUUUGUUGGGAAAGAAAAGCAGCAGGUUAAUACCCCGCUGUUCUGACGGUACCCAAAGAAUAAGCACCGGCUAACUUCGUG